UACGGGGGGGGCGAGCGUUGUUCGGAUUUACUGGGCGUAAAGGGCGCGUAGGCGGCGCCGCAAGUCGGCUGUGAAAUCUCCGGGCUUAACCCGGAAAGGUCAGCCGAUACUGCGGGGCUAGAGUGCAGAAGGGGCAACUGGAAUUCUCGGUGUAGCGGUGAAAUGCGUAGAUAUCGAGAGGAACACCUGCGGCGAAGGCGGGUCGCUGGGCGGCCACUGACGCUGAUGCGCGAAAGCUAGGGGAGCGAACGGG
rnacentral:rRNA from 1 species